rnacentral:rRNA from 1 species
GGUGUACCAGUUGUCUUGCCAAAGGCAUCGCUGGGUAGCUAUGUGUGGACGGGAUAAGUGCUGAAAGCAUCUAAGCAUGAAGCCCCCCUCAAGAUGAGAUUUCCCAUUACGCAAGUAAGUAAGAUCCCUCAAAGACGAUGAGGUAGAUAGGUUCGAGGUGGAAGUGUGGUGACACAUGGAGCUGACGAAUACUAAUCGAUCGAGGACUUAACCA